rfam:Nicotiana attenuata strain TT chromosome 6, whole genome shotgun sequence.
UUUAGUUGUGUGUAUCUGCUGUAAAUAUGGACGGAGAAUCAUCAGUAGGCUUUAGGUGGGCACCUAAGAGUUAUCAGACUGCCCAUAAAGAACCCUACUAACACUG